CGAGGUGCAGUGCGAGGUGUAAUAAGGGCUGUGAGGUAGGAUGGUGCUACUCCAUGUUUGGCUUUGUAGGCCAGCAUCAGUAUUUUGAACCUGAUGCAUGCAGCUACUGGGAGCCAGUGGAGGAAGGUAGCAGAGGGGCGGUGUGGGAGAAUUUGGGAAUUUUGGUAGACCAGCUAGAAGGGAGUUACAGUAAUCUAGUCAUGAGAUUACUGAACCAGUAUUUGGGUGGCCUGUGUUGAUAGAUAAGGGCGGAUCUGUCUGAAAUUGUAGAGAAAAAAAUCUAUAUGAGCAGGAAAGAUUGGUAAUGUGAGUCGAGAAGGAGAGUUGCUUGUCUAUAGUUACUCCAAGGUUGCGUGCAGUAGAAGAAGCAGAAAUAUGAGACUUGUUCAGGUAGAUAGCAAGAGCCUGAUGAGGUGAAGAAUCUGCAGGAAUUAAUAUUAAUUCUCAUCGGCGCCAGUGCUGGGUCUUCUUGCCCUGAUUUUUGUUUUACAUUUGUGAAGCCCACCUAAAACCCACAUGGGGCCACCAUGGUCCCCACCAGCUCAUAUCGCACCCAAAUGGGCCCCACUUGAACGUGUUGGCUGGGAGGGUUACCAGAUCUCCUCUUUUCCUUGAUCAUGUCCAGUCGGCUGUUUGAGGUAAUUAAACAAUUGUCACUUCAUGGGAUUCCUACAAGUAUGUUCAUGAUAGUAAUAAAACAGCGUUAAAGAUAUUCUGGCAGUGUUCACCCCCUGCAGCUACAAUCUUCACUAUAGUGAACAGUCUGGACACACCUCUGGACUCGAGACAAAACAUCUGCAACUUGUUCACAUUUGUUGUUCUAAUGUGAUUUUAUUUGUUCCAGCUCCUCCAAUGCCACAGAACUUGACUGUGUCCUCAGUUUCUGCUACAUCUGCUAAACUCAGCUGGAGUCUCCCUGAUGAGGUGGGAGGGUACUUCUGGAGUAAACGGGGGAAGAAGGUUCCAUAUAGUUUCUUGAUCUCCUACCACAGUGAAAAAAGUGGGACAAAUCAGUCCUCAACAGGGGACAACAGUACAGAAAUCACUGGUCUGACACCGUAUACGGAGUACACUGUCAGUGUUCGUACUGUGAACAGACAUGGAGUACAGAGUUCACCUGCUUCUUCACGCUUCUACACAGUUCUACCAGCUCCAGAGAUGUUGACUGUGGUCUCAGUUUCUGCUACAUCUGCUAAGAUCAGCUGGAUUCCACCACAUGGGAUGGAUCAGAUUGCACCCAGUUUCCUGAUCUCUUACUGGAGUAAAGAGAGUAAACCAGAUAAACCAUCUCUACAAAUUCAUAAGUCCAUCUCUACAAAUUCAUCCAGCAGAGAAAUCACAGAUCUGAAACCAGACACUCCGUACACUCUUACUGUCGGUACUGAGGUUAAACACGGAGGGAGGAGUCAACCUGCUACUGUUACCUUCAAUACUGAAAAAAUGAGGUUUUAUACCAAAAAUGUUGGAAAACUUCCAAUCCAGAACACACAGUCUUUAAAGGAACUUCUAACUAGAAAUGAUCUGGUAGAAGUGAACUCUGUGGAGAAGUGUGAUGUUGUCCUGGUUUUCUGUCUUGUUGUGUCUCGUGCUGGAACAGACAUUGAAGCAGCUCUGGUAGAAAUAAAUAAAGAAACCAAACCAGCGAUCCUGGUGGUGAUGCACCACACCUUAAGUAGAGAUGUUUUUCCAGACAGCAGCAGAUUCGUUACAGGAGAGCAAGUUCUGAUCACAGUGGACUGUCUUUUCCAAGAGGAUCAGGGUCUGCUGAGAUGUAAACAGAACGACACGUCGUUCACACAGAUUCAGAACAUCCUGGCACAUCUGGUAAAUAAAUUUACACCCAGCAAGCAAGAUCAUGUCUAGAUGGAGGAAUGAUACCACACUUCCUUGGUGUUUAUAGACGUCAGCGAUGCGUCAUGGUGAAGCUGAGGUCCCAUAAACCAGUGUGGAGAAAACACAUUUGUUCUCCAUCUGUUCUGUAAUAAUAACCUAGAACCUGCUGGUGGUUUUGAAGUAUGUAUCUCAGUUUAAGCUGGAAGACAAGAGGGUCAUACAAGGAAGUGAUUUAUUAACUAAUAUUACAUUUUUCCAUCCAAGAUUUUUUUUCUGUCCAUUGUCACCACCUUUAAUUCAUCUCUGGUGAAGCACUCUGCAUUGGUGUUGGAGAUGAGAAGCAAACAUGUUUGUGUUUGAUUUGAACCUGAAUGUCUGUAUGUUGUGGUGUAAAGUUCAGGGUUAAUCUUUGUGGACAAUGUGUUUGGUCUACAGCAGUAUAUUCUUCUGUUUCUGUCUUCAGUUCUCCUGAAUUUUCCUCUUUGUGAUUAUUAAAGUGUUUGUAUUAACUUUAAUUAUGACUGUGAUCAUUAUGAGAAUUUCUGUACCUGUGAUUCAUGGACCCAGUCAUGGCCAUUGUGUUCGUUUUUUUUAUUUGUAUGACCUUUUCUCUUAUUGAAAUUUAUUUUA
rnacentral:lncRNA from 1 species